UGUCAUGUGUCUUAGUUGGUUAAAGCGCCGGUCUAGCGAAUCCGGAGUCGUGGGUUCGAAUCCCACCAGAACGC
rfam:Aedes albopictus isolate Foshan contig64579, whole genome shotgun sequence.